rnacentral:rRNA from 1 species
AUUGAACGCUGGCGGCAGGCCUAACACAUGCAAGUCGAGCGGAUGAAGGGAGCUUGCUCCUGGAUUCAGCGGCGGACGGGUGAGUAAUGCCUAGGAAUCUGCCUGGUAGUGGGGGAUAACGUCCGGAAACGGGCGCUAAUACCGCAUACGUCCUGAGGGAGAAAGUGGGGGAUCUUCGGACCUCACGCUAUCAGAUGAGCCUAGGUCGGAUUAGCUAGUUGGUGGGGUAAAGGCCUACCAAGGCGACGAUCCGUAACUGGUCUGAGAGGAUGAUCAGUCACACUGGAACUGAGACACGGUCCAGACUCCUACGGGAGGCAACAGUGGGGAAUAUUGGACAAUGGGCGAAAGCCUGAUCCAGCCAUGCCGCAUGUGUGAAGAAGGUCUUCGGAUUGUAAAGCACUUUAAGUUGGGAGGAAGGGCAGUAAGUUAAUACCUUGCUGUUUUGACGUUACCAACAGAAUAAGCACCGGCUAACUUCGUG